UGGGUACUGCGGAAGGAUCAUUA
rnacentral:rRNA from 1 species